UACGGGGGGGGCUAGCGUUAUUCGGAAUUACUGGGCGUAAAGCGCACGUAGGCGGCUUUGUAAGUAAGAGGUGAAAGCCCGGAGCUCAACUCCGGAACUGCCUUUUAGACUGCAUCGCUUGAAUCCAGGAGAGGUGAGUGGAAUUCCGAGUGUAGAGGUGAAAUUCGUAGAUAUUCGGAAGAACACCAACUGCGAAGGCAGCUCGCUGGGACGUAACUGACGCUGAGACGCGAAAGCGUGGGGAGCAAACAGG
rnacentral:rRNA from 1 species